rnacentral:rRNA from 1 species
ACGGGUGAGUAACGCGUGGGAAUCUACCCUGAACUGCGGAAUAGCUCCGGGAAACUGGAAUUAAUACCGCAUGUGCCCUGAGGGGCAAAGAUUUAUCGGUUCAGGAUGAGCCCGCGUCCGAUUAGCUAGUUGGUGGGGUAAAGGCCUACCAAGGCGACGAUCGGUAGCUGGUCUAAGAGGAUGAUCAGCCACAUUGGGACUGAGACACGGCCCAAACUCCUACGGGAGGCAGCAGUGGGGAAUAUUGGACAAUGGGCGCAAGCCUGAUCCAGCCAUGCCGCGUGAGUGAUGAAGGCCCUAGGGUUGUAAAGCUCUUUCAGUGGGGACGAUAAUGACGGUACCCACAGAAGAAGCCCCGGCUAACUUCGUGCCAGCAGCCGCGGUAAUACGAAGGGGGCUAGCGUUGUUCGGAAUUACUGGGCGUAAAGCGCACGUAGGCGGACAUUUAAGUCAGGGGUGAAAUCCCGGGGCUCAACCCCGGAACUGCCUUUGAUACUGGGUGUCUUGAGUUCGGAAGAGGUGAGUGGAAUUGCGAGU